rnacentral:rRNA from 1 species
AUUGAACGCUGGCGGCAGGCCUAAUACAUGCAAGUCGAACGAGUGGCGGACGGGUGAGUAAUGUCUGGGAAACUGCCUGAUGGAGGGGGAUAACUACUGGAAACGGUAGCUAAUACCGCAUACCAUCGGAUGUGCCCAGAUGGGAUUAGCUAGGAGGUGGGGUAACGGCUCACCUAGGCGACGAUCCCUAGCUGGUCUGAGAGGAUGACCAGCCACCCUUGACCUGAGACACGGUCCAGCCUCCUACGGGAGGCAGCAGUGGGGAAUUUUGCACAAUGGGCGAAAGCCUGAUGCAGCCAUGCCGCGUGUAUGAAGAAGGCCUUCGGGUUGUAAAGUACUUUCAGCGGGGAGGCGUUACCCGCAGAAGAAGCACCGGCUAACUCCGUGCCAGCAGCCGCGGUAAUUC